UCAGUUCUUCUUGACCUGAAAAAUCGCCGCGCUUAUAUUUUACAUUCCUACCGAAAAUCCAAAUAAUCAGUGAAAUAGCGAGUGAUAGUGGGCUGCAAAACGUAAAUUUUAAUAGUGGAGGAGUACCACAUUUUAAGCUAUAGUGGAAAUUUUAUAUUGGAUCAAUUUAAAAUUAGCUUUAGUGAUAAAUUGUUUUCAGUGUUAGGUGUUUUACUAAUUUGCAUGAGUGUCCGAAACUCGAGUAGUACUAGCUUUUUAUGGCACAUCAGGCGCUCAUUGCAAACGCGUAGUGCGAAAAAGAUGAAAACAAUUUCAUGAUACUACAAGUGGUCUGAAUCAGUGAUACUAAACUAUUUGAGAAUGCCGUCGACACCGUAUGAUUUGGUGCAGGAUGAUCAGGAUUUGCGUGUGCCGCUGCAUGCCGAACAGGCCUUCUUCCAAGGCAUCACAUUUCAAGCCAAGCUUGGAAAACCUGAAAAAUAAAGAAUCAUUGUAAAUUACGGUUAGAGGUACGAACAAAAAUACGUGAGUUGUUGUUGCCGUUGUAGAGGCUAUUGAAACGUUGUCGUCAAGCUCAACAAACGUUGGACCCAGAAAACGUGCUCUUCGCACGUGAUCGGACCAAAGGGGGAGGGUUGCAAGCUGAGUGAGUUUUAGAGAGUACCAAAAAUAUUGCCA